rnacentral:rRNA from 1 species
UACGGGGGGGGCAAGCGUUGUUCGGAAUUACUGGGCGUAAAGGGCUCGUAGGUGGCCAACUAAGUCAGACGUGAAAUCCCUCAGCUUAACUGGGGAACUGCGUCCGAUACUGGAUGGCUUGGAUUUGGGAGAGGGAUGCGGAAUUCCAGGUGUAGCGGUGAAAUGCGUAGAUAUCUGGAGGAACACCGGUGGCGAAGGCGGCAUCCUGGACCAACAUUGACGCUGAGGAGCGAAAGCUAGGGGAGCAAACGGG